CAGGUUCUGGACUACCUGUUUGUCCACGGGCAGCUCUGUGAAAAGGGCUUCGAUCCACUCCUCGUAGAAGCUGCUUUGGAAAUGCACCAGUGUUCGGCAGAGGAGGAGGCCACGGCGCUCCUCCAGCUAAUGAGUAAAUUUAAAGAAAUGGGCUUUGAACUGAAGGACAUUAAAGAAGUUUUAUUAUUACACAAAAACGACCAGGACGGCGCGCUGGAAGAUCUAAUGACCCGGGCAGGAGCCAGCUGAAGAGAGGGCAGAGGAGCCCGCGGCCGGCCCUGCCGGCCCGCCCCUUGCCACCGUCACACGGCUCUCUCUGUGGGCGUGGAAAGGAGACAGCCGCAACAACCCUGCCUUUCCGAGGAGAGCUAAUUUGUUGGCCCCCAGCCCUCCAGUAGGCCGUUCCCAGUGGGGAGAGCCCAACCCUUCAAUUAAAGUUUAAGUGUCCUUUCCUGAGUAUCCCCCCUCGCGCCCCCACUUUUAUUUUGGCUAGGCCACAGAGAACCUUGAUCGGGGUUGUACAUAGUAAGGCCAGGCUAGUUAUUUACCCCCCCUCCACUGCCACCCCCCUCCCCCCCCCCCGCAACUCUUGCACUAGACUCGGCCAGAGAAGUAUCUGCUCGGUUCUGAAACAAACCGCUCUUUGAGCUGCUUGAAGCUGAUUUCGUACUUUGUCCGCUUGUACCGAAACGUGGACUCGCGGUCAGGAGCAACGGAAGCCUACCUUGAGUGCAAUGGGAUCCUCAGUUUUGUCCUGGGGGAGCCCGGGGUGGGGGGGUGGGGGUGGGGGAAUCUUUGGUUUGAAAGUUAGUGAAACACUGGGCCUGAAACUGCCUCCGUGCAUAGAGAGACGCCGUACCUUUUCCUUUGGUAUCCUGGCUCUGCCUAUCUGCUCUUUGCCGGUCCUUGACAGGUGAGGCCGAAUUCUCAGUGCGAGUAAACUGUGAGCCUCUUGGGCUGCUUAGCCGAGUGGCUGAUUUCUGAACUGGGGGUGGGUAGGUGGGGGUGGGGGGGAAGACCCUCUUGGCCGCCCUCUUUAAAUUUAUGCAGAAGCACUCCUGGAAAAAAUCGGCCGGCAGUUUAGAAUUAACACAGCGUGAGAGAUGGGAAGUCGUUUAUCUUUUCGAGCACUUUCUUUUUAAUAUUCACUGCAUUUGUUCCAUCUCCUUCCCCCCCCACACACUCUGCUACAGUUACAUUAAUCUGUUAACAUCUAGGAAUAGGAAUCCUACUUUUUGGUUUGAUUUUGAUAGUUUUAAAAAAAAAGAAGAAGUAUAUUAUGUUGUACAUGGUUAAAAGAUCUAAACACAUAAAAACAAAUUAAGCAGUAGGUGAAUCUCUGAAGUGAUUUGCUAAGUAUUUUGGUUUCUGCAGAAAGGGAUACUAAUAAAACCUUGAAAUGCC